AUUUUGAAAGGAAGUAAUGUUGCGUUUUGGGUUUUCUUUUUAAGUGCUCGCAUUAAGGUUCAAAGAAAAUGUAAACAGCGGAGACACAUAGAAAAUGCACAAGAUCCUAUGGUAUUCCAUAUUAAUUAACGUUAUUCUGUUUUGAUUAGAUCAAGUUUGACAAUACCUGGAGUGUGAAAGAACGAUUAGGGUCUGAGUCUCCCUUCUGAGAUUGCCAUCUUUGACUGGCCAACAUCUCUCUCCGCUUCACUAUUUCCUCGUCCUCAAAGAGCCGACCUUUCCCGUCCAAGAUAAGGAGAGCUAUUUACAACGGCGACUGGGAUUGUUGUGUUGUGGAAAUAGUAAUAGAAUGUGUUAGGAAUACAAGAUGAUACCUGUCCCGGACCGUCCAGUAUAAAACCUGGUGCGCACUUGGUAUUAGCUGCCUUUUCACAAUUCUGGCUCCGAGAUCUUUGAUAAAAUGUUUGUUGCUAUAUCGAAAAACUUAAAGUACCUUACCGUCUUUGUGGUGGAACUGAACCUUUGUUUGUUUACUUCCCAUUUUGAAUUUUUACAAUAAAACAGUUAC